UGGAUGGGGAAUCUGAGCGUCAGUUUCCUGACGAAAACUAUGGGACCGCUUUCAAAGCAUUUGGAGGAGGUAAGGAGGGCAAAGCUGCUUGUCGUGCUAUUGCUGCGCUGUGUGAAGCAUGCUCUAUUGAUUCCUUGAUAUCCAACUUUAUUCUUCCAUUACAGGGUGAACAUAUAUCGGGUAAUAGUGGGCGCAUCCAUUGUUCUCUAAAUAUCAAUACAGAAACUGGACGGUUA
rnacentral:misc_RNA from 1 species